AGUGAACGCUGGCGGCGUGCUUAACACAUGCAAGUCGAACGAGAACGGAUUAUAGCUUGCUAUAAUUGUCAGCUAAGUGGCGCACGGGUGAGUAAUGUAUAGGUAAUAUGCCUCUUACUAAGGGAUAACAAAUGGAAACGUUUGCUAAUACCUUAUACUCCUUAUUAACAGAAGUUAAUAAGGGAAAGAUUUAUUGGUAAGAGAUUAGCCUGUAUUGUAUCAGUUAGUUGGUGGGGUAAUGGCUUACCAAGACUAUGACGCAUAACUGGUUUGAGAGGAUGAUCAGUCACACUGGAGCUGAGACACGGUCCAGACUCCUACGGGAGGCAGCAGUGGGGAAUAUUGCACAAUGGACGAAAGUCUGAUGCAGCAACGCCGCGUGGAGGAUGGCACAUUUCGGUGCGUAAACUCCUUUUAUAUGAGAAGAUAAUGACGGUAUUAUAUGAAUAAGCACCGGCUAACUCCGUGCCAGCCGCCGCCGUAA
rnacentral:rRNA from 1 species